rnacentral:rRNA from 1 species
UACGUAGGGACCAAGCGUUGUUCGGAUUUACUGGGCGUAAAGGGCGCGUAGGCGGCGUGGUAAGGUCACUUGUGAAAUCUCUGAGCUUAACUCAGAACGGCCAAGUGAUACUGCUGUGCUAGAGUGCAGAAGGGGCAAUCGGAAUUCUCGGUGUAGCGGUGAAAUGCGUAGAUAUCGAGAGGAACACCAGAGGUGAAGACGGGUUGCUGGGCUGACACAUGACGCU